rnacentral:rRNA from 1 species
UACGUAGGGUGCGAGCGUUAAUCGGAAUUACUGGGCGUAAAGCGCACGUAGGCGGACUUCUAAGUCAGGGGUGAAAUCCCGGGGCUCAACCUCGGAACUGCCUUUGAUACUGGAAGUCUCGAGUCCGAGAGAGGUGAGUGGAACUCCUAGUGUAGAGGUGAAAUUCGUAGAUAUUAGGAAGAACACCAGUGGCGAAGGCGGCUCACUGGCUCGGUACUGACGCUGAGGUGCGAAAGCGUGGGGAGCAAACAGG